AACGAACGCUGGCGGCAGGCUUAACACAUGCAAGUCGAGCGCCCCGCAAGGGGAGCGGCAGACGGGUGAGUAACGCGUGGGAACGUACCCUUUGCUACGGAAUAGCUCCGGGAAACUGGAAUUAAUACCGUAUGUGCCCUACGGGGGAAAGAUUUAUCGGCAAAGGAUCUGCCCGCGUUGGAUUAGCUAGUUGGUGGGGUAAUGGCCUACCAAGGCGACGAUCCAUAGCUGGUCUGAGUGGAUGAUCAGCCACAUUGGGACUGAGACACGGCCCAAACUCCUACGGGAGGCAGCAGUGGGGAAUAUUGGACAAUGGGCGCAAGCCUGAUCCAGCCAUGCCGCGUGAGUGAUGAAGGCCUUAGGGUUGUAAAGCUCUUUCACCGGAGAAGAUAAUGACGGUAUCCGGAGAAGAAGCCCCGGCUAACUUCGUGCCAGCAGCCGCCGCAGUAA
rnacentral:rRNA from 1 species